GGGGACGUAGCUCAGUUGGGAGAGCGGCUCGUUCGCAAUGAGCAGGUCGAGGGUUCGAAUCCCUUCGUCUCCA
rnacentral:tRNA from 5 species